GAUGAACGCUGGCGGCGUGCCUAAUACAUGCAAGUCGAGCGAACAGAUGAGGAGCUUGCUCCUCUGACGUUAGCGGCGGACGGGUGAGUAACACGUGGAUAACCUACCUAUAAGACUGGGAUAACUUCGGGAAACCGGAGCUAAUACCGGAUAAUAUAUUGAACCGCAUGGUUCAAUAGUGAAAGACGGUUUUGCUGUCACUUAUAGAUGGAUCCGCGCCGCAUUAGCUAGUUGGUAAGGUAACGGCUUACCAAGGCAACGAUGCGUAGCCGACCUGAGGGGGUGAUCGGCCACACUGGAACUGAGACACGGUCCAGACUCCUACGGGAGGCAGCAGUAGGGAAUCUUCCGCAAUGGGCGAAAGCCUGACGGAGCAACGCCGCGUUAGUGAUGAAGGUCUUCGGAUCGUAAAACUCUGUUAUUAGGGAAGAACAAAUGUGUAAGUAACUAUGCACGUCUUGACGGUACCUAAUCAGAAAGCCACGGCUAACUACGUG
rnacentral:rRNA from 1 species